AGACCCGAAACCCGGUGAUCUAGCCAUGGGCAGGUUGAAGGUUGGGUAACACUAACUGGAGGACCGAACCGACUAAUGUUGAAAAAUUAGCGGAUGACCUGUGGCUGGGGGUGAAAGGCCAAUCAAACCGGGAGAUAGCUGGUUCUCCCCGAAAGCUAUUUAGGUAGCGCCUCGUGAAUUCAUCUCCGGGGGUAGAGCACUGUUUCGGCUAGGGGGCCAUCCCGGCUUACCAACCCGAUGCAAACUGCGAAUACCGGAGAAUGUUAUCACGGGAGACACACGGCGGGUGCUAACGUCCGUCGUGAAGAGGGAAACAACCCAGACCGCCAGCUAAGGUCCCAAAGUCAUGGUUAAGUGGGAAACGAUGUGGGAAGGCCCAGACAGCCAGGAUGUUGGCUUAGAAGCAGCCAUCAUUUAAAGAAAGCGUAAUAGCUCACUGGUCGAGUCGGCCUGCGCGGAAGAUGUAACGGGGCUAAACCAUGCACCGAAGCUGCGGCAGCGAACGUAUCACUUAAAGCGAUUCAGCGGGUUACGAUUGACGGAGCGAAGCGACGUCAAAGCGUAUACAAAGUCGAGUCGGUUUAAGGAUACGUUCGUUGGGUAGGGGAGCGUUCUGUAAGCCUGUGAAGGUGGCCUGUGAGGGUUGCUGGAGGUAUCAGAAGUGCGAAUGCUGACAUAAGUAACGAUAAAGCGGGUGAAAAGCCCGCUCGCCGGAAGACCAAGGGUUCCUGUCCAACGUUAAUCGGGGCAGGGUGAGUCGACCCCUAAGGCGAGGCCGAAAGGCGUAGUCGAUGGGAAACAGGUUAAUAUUCCUGUACUUGGUGUUACUGCGAAGGGGGGACGGAGAAGGCUAUGUUGGCCGGGCGACGGUUGUCCCGGUUUAAGCGUGUAGGCUGGUUUUCCAGGCAAAUCCGGAAAAUCAAGGC
rnacentral:rRNA from 1 species